GACGAACGCUGGCGGCGUGCUUAACACAUGCAAGUCGAACGGAAAGGCCCUGCUUUUGUGGGGUGCUCGAGUGGCGAACGGGUGAGUAACACGUGAGUAACCUGCCCUUGACUUUGGGAUAACUUCAGGAAACUGGGGCUAAUACCGGAUAUGAGCUCCUGCUGCAUGGUGUGGGUUGGAAAGUUUCGGCGGUUGGGGAUGGACUCGCGGCUUAUCAGCUUGUUGGUGGGGUAGUGGCUUACCAAGGCUUUGACGGGUAGCCGGCCUGAGAGGGUGACCGGCCACAUUGGGACUGAGAUACGGCCCAGAAUCCUACGGGAGGCAGCAGUGGGGAAUAUUGCACAAUGGGCGGAAGCCUGAUGCAGCAACGCCGCGUGCGGGAUGACGGCCUUCGGGUUGUAAACCGAUUUCGCCUGUGACGAAGCGUGAGUGACGGUAAUGGGUAAAGAAGCACCGGCUAACUACGUG
rnacentral:rRNA from 1 species